AGUGAACGCUGGCGGUAGGCCUAACACAUGCAAGUCGAACGGCAGCACAGUAAGAGCUUGCUCUUACGGGUGGCGAGUGGCGGACGGGUGAGGAAUACAUCGGAAUCUACUUUUUCGUGGGGGAUAACGUAGGGAAACUUACGCUAAUACCGCAUACGACCUACGGGUGAAAGCAGGGGAUCUUCGGACCUUGCGCGAUUGAAUGAGCCGAUGUCGGAUUAGCUAGUUGGCGGGGUAAAGGCCCACCAAGGCGACGAUCCGUAGCUGGUCUGAGAGGAUGAUCAGCCACACUGGAACUGGAAAACGGUCCCGGCCCCUACGGGAGGCAGGCGUGGGGAAUAUUUGAACAUGGGGGGAAGCCUGAUCCAGGCAUACCGGGGGGGUGAAGAAGGCCUUCGGGUUGUAAAGCCCUUUUGUUGGGAAAGAAAAGCAGCAGGUUAAUACCCCGCUGUUCUGACGGUACCCAAAGAAUAAGCACCGGCUAACUUCGUG
rnacentral:rRNA from 1 species